GUCAGGAUGAACGCUAGCUACAGGCUUAACACAUGCAAGUCGAGGGGCAGCAUUGGAGUAGCAAUACUUCAGAUGGCGACCGGCGCACGGGUGAGUAACACGUAUCCAACCUGCCGCUUACUCGGGGAUAGCCUUUCGAAAGAAAGAUUAAUACCCGAUGGUAUAAAGAGUUCGCAUGUUCUCUUUAUUAAAGAAUUUCGGUAAGCGAUGGGGAUGCGUUCCAUUAGAUAGUUGGCGGGGUAACGGCCCACCAAGUCUACGAUGGAUAGGGGUUCUGAGAGGAAGGUCCCCCACAUUGGAACUGAGACACGGUCCAAACUCCUACGGGAGGCAGCAGUGAGGAAUAUUGGUCAAUGGACGAGAGUCUGAACCAGCCAAAGUAGCGUGAAGGAUGACUGCCCUAUGGGUUGUAAACUUCUUUUAUAAGGGAAUAAAGUGAGGGACGUGUCCCUUUUUGUAUGUACCUUAUGAAUAAGGAUCGGCUAACUCCGUGCCAGCCGCCGC
rnacentral:rRNA from 1 species